AAUGCAGUGGCUGCACAUUAAGCUGUUACGAAUAACUGCUGUUGGGAUGGAAUGAAAUGGAAACAAAUCUGCAUUUUAUUUGCACUCUCUCUGCAAUUCCAUGCCAUCCAGACUGCAGUUACGUUCUGUGCACAGCAACACCGCCAAAAAGGGGCCAAUUGUCAUGUUGUGGGCUGCCUGACACAGAGCCCACAUGAUAAGAAACUGAAGGUGGCCUGCCAUCCACAAUGCACCAGGAGCUGAAUCCUGCCAAGAACUCUGAGUGAGUGAGCGAGCUUGAACGUGGAUGCCUGCCCAGUUGAACCUUGAGAGGAGACCCCAGCCCCUGGCUAAUGCUUUCAUUGCAGUCUGCCAGAACUGAGAAGAUGAGAUCUUGGAGUUUAAGGAGGACAAGUCACUCACCACUCCGCCAAUCACUGGUGGCACUUGGACUGUUCCCUAGGAAUUCUGGAUUUCAAAGCCUGUUCCUGCUCCUCUACUCCAAGCUACCUGAGGGCAGAAAACAUGUCUUCAUUUAUCUUUGCCUUUCCAACAGCAUAUGGCUCUUUCUGACACACAGUGGGUGUGAACAUUGAUAAAAUAUUUAACAAGGGUUAGCAAAGCAAUAAACUCAAAAGCCAUAUCUAGGUCAAUUCAUUUUUGUGUGAACAGAGGGACAUUUUUAUCUCUAACCCAAGGUGUUGAGGCUGAGUUUACAUUUUCUAGUUUGUCCCCAAACUUGGCUUACUUCAGAGAAGAGCACUAUUGGGUCAUAAGAGUUGUCUUUCCUCUACUGUGUAAAAUAAAGAGAUUUAGAUGCUGAAGAGAGAGCUACACAGGAAAAACAAGCAAAGCUACAAUUCUGGGUUACCUUGUCGUUAGCUAGACAUUAAAUACCAAUGCCUAGAAUUCAUUCAAUCAUUUAUUCAUAUAUCCAUUCACGAAUUCAUUCAUUCAUUCAUCUCCCAGAUGGUUUUUUGCCUGAACUCACCUCACUACUUAGGUUUGACAAAGAAACACAGCACAGUCUUUGAUUAUGACAAGCUCAGUCAUGCUGAAUACAUUUUGUUCUUUCAUACGACUUUCUCCUAAAUGAAAAUAGUAUUGCUAAUUGUAAAAGAUGAUUAUAAAAUACAGAGUCAAAACAUUAAAAGAAAAAUUCACUAUAAUCCCCCACUUAAACAUGAAUAACUGACUAACAUUUGGUUGCAUUGCCUCCCAGACUUUUCUAUAUAUAUUUUACAAGUACGAUAUACUGUAAGUACCAAUUUACAGCCUUUUCUUUACUUAACCAGGAUGUUUAUAUAUUUUCAUUUUAUUAGAUACUCCUCGACAGUGCCUUUUUUAAUCUACAAAUUGUUUCACUCAAUUGCUUUAUACUACUUCAUUUAACCAUGGCUUGGAGGUAUUAUUCUUAAUAGUAUUAUUGUUAUUAAAAUAAAAUAAAAUGAAAUAAUGAAACACUGAUGUUGGCAAAGGUGUGGGAAAUGAAAAUACCCCCAAAUUUCACCUGUUUACUUCUUUUGCAUUAGUUUUUUUAAAUUACUUUUGGGUAGCUUGACACAUCUUUAAUUUAAGCACUAAUUAUUGUACAUAAUGCAGCUACACCUGUGGUGAACAUGCUUUUUAUUAGCAUUAAAACUAAAGACAUCAAAGAAUCAUAUCAGGAUAAAACGUUUAUUUCUAAUUUAAUAGAACUGCAAUUAAAGCAAAUUUGAUCUGAAUGAAAUCCCAUCAUAACGGGCCUUUUUUUUCCUACACAGUGAGCGAAAAUUAUUCUCCCCUAAAUUGAAGAUUAAUAACAUGUUUUUAAUGUUAAAUGUAGCAAUUCAAGCAUUAGGUUGCAAUUCAAGUUCAACAUCAUUGAACAUUUUAUAAACUUCACAUUUUAACAUCUCUGAAAAGCGCUCUGAGGUAAAAGCAUUAGCAUUAAAUGCAUUAAUGUUAUUUUUCUUUAUAAAUGAGCUUAUAACGGUGUUGUUACCUUCAUUUGAAUAUUUUAAUGAAGGGAUAAUAUAAGGAGAGUGCUCCAUUUUCAUAAGGUAAUUGUUUCUUCCCUAAGUGGCUAAACUUGGACAGAAAGUGGAGUUUAUCUCAUUGAAAUUCUAUUAUGGCUGCAUAGUUGUUGUUACUUGUCAGAAUCUUUCAUUACCUGGUAACUGGGACUUUUGGCUAACGCUCUUCCUUCCCAUGACAUCCAGUCUUCUGCUGUCCUGUGGUGUAAUCCUAUCCUCUGGCAAGUCACAGCAGCAAAUCUUUGGUAUCUUGCUCUAGUACUCACUGGCUCGGCACUUAAACUUUAGCUGGAUGGAGAAUUCUGAUUUAAAUUAAGUUC